rnacentral:rRNA from 1 species
CACGUAGGGUGCGAGCGUUGUCCGGAAUUAUUGGGCGUAAAGAGCUCGUAGGCGGUGUGUCGCGUCGGCCGUGAAAACCUGCAGCUUAACUGUGGGCGUGCGGUCGAUACGGGCAUCACUGGAGUUCGGCAGGGGAGACUGGAAUUCCUGGUGUAGCGGUGAAGUGCGCAGAUAUCAGGAGGAACACCGGUGGCGAAGGCGGGUCUCUGGGCCGAUACUGACGCUGAGGAGCGAAAGCGGUGGGGAGCAAACAGG